GACGAACGCUGGGCGGCAUGCCUAAUACAUGCAAGUCGAACGCUUUAACGUUCACCGGGUGCUUGCACCCAUAGAAGUUAAGGAGUGGCGGACGGGUGAGUAACACGUGGGUAACCUGCCCAUAAGAGGGGGAUAACAUUCGGAAACGGAUGCUAAUACCGCAUAUUACUAAUCGUCUCCUGACGAAUGGAAGAAAGGUGGCUUCGGCUACCGCUUAUGGAUGGACCCGCGGCGUAUUAGCUAGUUGGUAAGGUAACGGCUUACCAAGGCAAUGAUGCAUAGCCGAGUUGAGAGACUGAUCGGCCACAUUGGGACUGAGACACGGCCCAA
rnacentral:rRNA from 1 species